UACGUAGGUGGCAAGCGUUGUCCGGAUUUAUUGGGCGUAAAGAGCUCGUAGGCGGCUCGUCGCGUCUGCCGUGAAAAACCCCGCAGCUCAACUGCGGGCUUGCGGUUGAUACGGGCGGGCUGGAGUUCGGUAGGGGAGACUGGAAUUCCUGGUGUAGAGGUGAAAUUCGUAGAUAUCAAGCGGAACACCGGUGGCGAAGGCGGCCUUCUGGACAGUGACUGACGCUGAGACGCGAAAGCGUGGGGAGCAAACAGGG
rnacentral:rRNA from 1 species